AUUGAACGCUGGCGGCAGGCCUAACACAUGCAAGUCGAACGAGUGGCGGACGGGUGAGUAAUGUCUGGGAAACUGCCUGAUGGAGGGGGAUAACUACUGGAAACGGUAGCUAAUACCGCAUACCAUCAGAUGUGCCCAGAUGGGCUUAGCUUGUUGGUGGGGUAACCGCUACCCAAGGCGACGAUCCCUAGCUGGUCUGAGAUGAUGACCGGCCACACGGGAACGGUGACACGGUCCAGCCCCCUACGGUAGGCAGCAGUGGGGCAUAUUGCGCAAUGGGCGCAAGUCUGAUGCAGCCAUGCCGCGUGUAUGAAGAAGGUCUUCGGGUUGUAAAGUACUUUCAGCGGGGAGGCGUUACCCGCAGAAGAAGCACCGGCUAACUCCGUGCCAGCAGCCGCGGUAAUUC
rnacentral:rRNA from 1 species